rnacentral:rRNA from 1 species
GAUGAACGCUGGCGGCGUGCCUAAUACAUGCAAGUCGAGCGAAUGGAUUAAGAGCUUGCUCUUAUGAAGUUAGCGGCGGACGGGUGAGUAACACGUGGGUAACCUGCCCAUAAGACUGGGAUAGCUCCGGGAAACCGGGGCUAAUACCGGAUAACAUUUUGAACCGCAUGGUUCGAAAUUGAAAGGCGGCUUCGGCUGUCACUUAUGGAUGGACCCGCGUCGCAUUAGCUAGUUGGUGAGGUAACGGCUCACCAAGGCAACGAUGCGUAGCCGGUCGGGGAGGGGGAGUGGCCAGACUGGGACAGGGCGCCGGCCCAGACUCCGACGAGGGGCAGCAGGAGGGAAUCUUCCGCAAUGGACGAAAGUCUGACGGAUCAACGCCGCGUGAGUGAUGAAGGCUUUCGGGUCGUAAAACUCUGUAGGUAGGGAAGAACAAGUGCUAGUUGAAUAAGCUGGCACCUUGACGGUACCUAACCAGAAAGCCACGGCUAACUACGUGCCAGCAGCCGCCGUAA